GACGAACGCUGGCGGCGUGCUUAACACAUGCAAGUCGAGCGGAAAGGCCCUUCGGGGUACUCGAGCGGCGAACGGGUGAGUAACACGUGAGUAACCUGCCCCAGACUUUGGGAUAACCCUCGGAAACGGGGGCUAAUACCGGAUACGACACAGCUUCGCAUGGGGUCUGUGUGGAAAGUUUUUCGGUUUGGGAUGGGCUCGCGGCCUAUCAGCUUGUUGGUGGGGUGAUGGCCUACCAAGGCGACGACGGGUAGCCGGCCUGAGAGGGCGACCGGCCACACUGGGACUGAGACACGGCCCAGACUCCUACGGGAGGCAGCAGUGGGGAAUACUGCACAAUGGGCGGAAGCCUGAUGCAGCGACGCCGCGUGAGGGAUGACGGCCUUCGGGUUGUAAACCUCUUUCAGCAGGGACGAAGCGUAAGUGACGGUACCUGCAGAAGAAGCGCGGGCCAACUACGUG
rnacentral:rRNA from 1 species